rnacentral:rRNA from 1 species
CGCUAGCUACAGGCUUAACACAUGCAAGUCGAGGGGCAGCAUGGUCUUAGCUUGCUAAGGCCGAUGGCGACCGGCGCACGGGUGAGUAACACGUAUCCAACCUGCCGUCUACUCUUGGACAGCCUUCUGAAAGGAAGAUUAAUGCAAGAUGGCAUCAUGAGUCCGCAUGUUCACAUGAUUAAAGGUAUUCCGGUGGACGAUGGGGAUGCGUUCCAUUAGAUAGUAGGCGGGGUAACGGCCCACCUAGUCUUCGAUGGAUAGGGGUUCUGAGAGGAAGGUCCCCCACAUUGGAACUGAGACACGGUCCAAACUCCUACGGGAGGCAGCAGUGAGGAAUAUUGGUCAAUGGGCGAGAGCCUGAACCAGCCAAGUAGCGUGAAGGAUGACUGCCCUAUGGGUUGUAAACUUCUUUUAUAAAGGAAUAAAGUCGGGUAUGCAUACCCGUUUGCAUGUACUUUAUGAAUAAGGAUCGGCUAACUCCGUGCCAGCAGCCGCGGUAAUACGGAGGAUCCGAGCGUUAUCCGGAUUUAUUGGGUUUAAAGGGAGCGUAGAUGGAUGUUUAAGUCAGUUGUGAAAGUUUGCGGCUCAACCGUAAAAUUGCAGUUGAUACUGGAUAUCUUGAGUGCAGUUGAGGCAGGCGGAAUUCGUGGUGUAGCGGUGAAAUGCUUAGAUAUCACGAAGAACUCCGAUUGCGAAGGCAGCCUGCUAAGCUGCAACUGACAUUGAGGCUCGAAAGUGUGGGUAUCAAACAGGAUUAGAUACCCUGGUAGUCCACACGGUAAACGAUGAAUACUCGCUGUUUGCGAUAUACGGCAAGCGGCCGAGCGAAAGCGUUAAGUAUUCCACCUGGGGAGUACGCCGGCAACGGUGAAACUCAAAGGAAUUGACGGGGGCCCGCACAAGCGGAGGAACAUGUGGUUUAAUUCGAUGAUACGCGAGGAACCUUACCCAGGCUUAAAUUGCAGAUGAAUUACGGUGAAAGCCGUAAGCCGCAAGGCAUCUGUGAAGGUGCUGCAUGGUUGUCGUCAGCUCGUGCCGUGAGGUGUCGGCUUAAGUGCCAUAACGAGCGCAACCCUUGUUGUCAGUUACUAACAGGUUCUGCUGAGGACUCUGACAAGACUGCCAUCGUAAGAUGUGAGGAAGGUGGGGAUGACGUCAAAUCAGCACGGCCCUUACGUCCGGGGCUACACACGUGUUACAAUGGGGGGUACAGAGGGCCGCUACCACGCGAGUGGAUGCCAAUCCCCAAAACCUCUCUCAGUUCGGACUGGAGUCUGCAACCCGACUCCACGAAGCUGGAUUCGCUAGUAAUCGCGCAUCAGCCACGGCGCGGUGAAUACGUUCCCGGGCCUUGUACACACCGCCCGUCAAGCCAUGGGAGCCGGGGGUACCUGAAGUGCGUAACCGCGAGGAGCGCCCUAGGGUAAAACUGGUGACUGG